AGUGACGCGGUUUGCGUCUAGAGCGGCUCCUUGGAGUCCACAGCAUCCACCGCCGGAGCCUCGCCUUCCUUUCUCCGUCUGCAGACAUAUCGAGACACAAAAAGAGGAAACCCCUGGAUCCGUGCGAGGGACCUAUUCCCAAUAUGACCGAGACCACAAAGACCCACGUUAUCCUGCUGGCCUGCGGCAGCUUCAAUCCCAUCACUAAAGGGCACAUUCAGAUGUUCGAAAGAGCCAGGGAUUAUCUGCACAAGACUGGAAGAUUUAUUGUGAUUGGUGGUAUUGUCUCUCCAGUCCACGACUCCUAUGGAAAACAGGGUCUUGUGUCAAGUCGGCACCGUCUCAUCAUGUGUCAGCUGGCUGUCCAAAAUUCUGACUGGAUCAGGGUGGACCCAUGGGAGUGCUACCAGGACACCUGGCAGACAACCUGCAGUGUGUUAGAGCACCAUCGAGACCUCAUGAAGAGGGUGACCGGCUGCAUCCUCUCCAACGUCAACACGCCUUCCAUGACACCUGUGAUUGGACAGCCACAACACGAGAACACCCAGCCCAUUUACCAGAACAGCAAUGUGCCCACCAAGCCCACUGCAGCCAAGAUCUUGGGAAAGGUGGGAGAGAGCCUCGGCCGGAUCUGCUGUGUCCGCCCACCCGUGGAGCGCUUCACUUUUGUAGAUGAGAACGCCAACCUGGGCACAGUGAUGCGGUAUGAGGAGAUCGAGCUGCGCAUCUUGCUGCUGUGCGGUAGUGACCUGCUGGAGUCCUUCUGCAUCCCAGGACUCUGGAAUGAGGCAGAUAUGGAAGUGAUUGUUGGGGAUUUUGGGAUUGUGGUGGUGCCCCGGGAUGCAGCGGACACAGACCGAAUCAUGAAUCACUCCUCAAUACUCCGCAAAUACAAAAACAACAUCAUGGUAGUGAAGGAUGACAUCAACCAUCCCAUGUCUGUAGUCAGCUCCACCAAAAGCAGGCUGGCCCUGCAGCAUGGGGAUGGCCACGUUGUGGAUUACCUGUCCCAGCCGGUCAUCGACUACAUCCUCAAGAGUCAGCUGUACAUCAAUGCCUCGGGCUAGCAGAUACCCAGCUUUCUGCUCUACUCUCCCCUUGUCCUCUGCCAACAUACUGGCCCCCUCCAGUCACUGUCAGACCCCGGUUUCUCUCCUGCCUCUCUGUUUCUCUGUGUUCAUCUUGACUGUUCUCCCCACUGGCUGACUUAACCCCCACAGUGUGGAGGGCCUGCGAAGAACCGUGAACCGUGGCAUUCCCAUUCCACAGCCAUCUUUGGACAAACUUUCCUCUGGUCUCUGGGUUGGGGGGUGGGUAAGGGAACAGGGUGGGAUUUGGGGAAAGUGCAGCCCUUAGAGAUGUACUGGUGUCCAUAUCCCAGCAUGCUCUAGAGAGGCGGCUCUGGGGCCCAUCCUCCCAGCAUGCUCUGGGGUCGUGGCUCAGGCUCUUGCCUUCCCAGCAUGCCCUUUACCACAAAGGGCUAUUUUUUUUCCUUUUUCUUUGUCCACUUCUUGUAGAACUUGGAUGAAGUGUGUGUGUGUGUCUGCGUGUGUGUGUGUGUGUGUGUGUGUGUGUGUGUGUGUGUGUGUGUGUAGUCUUGAUGCUCUCCUGUGGUUUACUUCCCUUCUGAUAGGACACUAUAGCCAGUCUCAGCACUUGUAAGUGUGUGAGGGCCACAUCCAGGAAAGAAGGCAGAGCCCCUCUGCUUCUCCAACACACACACACACACACACACACACACACACACACACAUACACACAGACAGACAGACAUACACACACACACAGACACAUACAGACACACACACAGACACACACACAGACACACACACACAGACACACACACACAGAGACACAGACACACACACAGACACACACACACAGACACACACACACAGAGACACUGACAGACACACACACAGACACACACACAGACACACACACACAGACACACACACACAGACAUAUACAGACACACACACAGACUGACAGACACAGACACACACACAGAGACACAUACAGACAUACACACACACACACACACAGACACACACACACACCACACCACACCAGCAGCAGCAUCCCCAGACCCCUAUGGUCAAGAAUAAGACUUUCAGUGAUUGUGGUCUUGAUGCUGUGUGUCCGCCCGCUGGUAGCUUUGUGUGGGCUCCCUGCCGACCAGGCAUUUCCAGAGAGCAAAAGCCCUCGGAGGCCACAGUAAGGCAGGCUCCUGCUGGUGAGAGGAGUCACACAAGGCAAGACCAAGUCCUGAUAAUCCAUUCUUUUUUUCUUUUUAAACAUGCUAAGAAUCCACUUGACGGGAAAGAUCCUUUGCUAAUUGGCAUUAUUUAUUGCCCAUAUGGCUAGGGGCUUUAAGUCCAGAGUGAUCUGGGAGAAUGCAUUUUAGUUACCCCUGAGGAGAAUUCGUGAUCCCCACCCCCUCCCUCUGAGGUUGCCAAGCUGCGCCCAAAGCCUUUUCCUUCUUGCAAAACAAUCAGCCCUGUUUCUGAGCUGGCCCUAUCUGUCUCCUGAAGAGCCUAGCAGUCAAUGCCCUAGGAGGUCUGCCUGACACAAGAGAGCUGUCUCCUGUGUUUCUCCCCAUUUCUACCCAGUGCCCCCCUCCGCCCUUCUCUCUACCUCUGAAGACAGUUCGAGACUGAACAAGAGUCUCAUGUCCUUCCUGGAGAGCUCAUAGAAAAUGACUUUUGUGUUUUGUGUUUUCCAUCCAGCGUCUGGCUCUGGUGGCUCAUGGGGCACAGCUCCUGAGUAGCAAGAGGGCCACGUCUAACUUCUAACAUGAACCAGGUAGCAUGAGGCUCUUUGCCUUGGUUUUCCCUCCGGCCUCCUCCGCUGACUUCAGGAGGAAGAAGCUGGGUCAACAGAAGCGCCUAGGGCAUCUUCAGAGCUGUGGCUUUUCUUUAGACUGCAGAAGUGAUUUCCAGAGGGAGGGGAUUAUUUCUAUAAUCGAGAGGUCCAGUGUUUGGCUAAAAGUCAUAGAAAAGUAGAGAAAACCUGCAGGACCGGCAAAGGAGCAGAGACCCCGGGAGUCAGUGUCUGAUCCAGGAUCAGAAGCCCUGUGAGAGGAUAUUGUUUCCCUAGACAAAAGAAAACCAGGAGCUGGAUUGUGUGGGGGGAAACAUGGGGCUUUGCAGGAGCCUGACAAGGGUCCAAAAGAGCAGGCCCCAGAAAGGCUACUUUUCCUUUGUUCCUUUGGUUCACUGUGUUUCUCUUCUAAGCUCUGGUUGAGCUUCAUUCAGUCCACAGCCUGGGAUAAGGUACCAGGCUAGCCCAGCAGUCUCAGAGGGCAACAGGGAAGGAAGAGUAGGUGAGCUAUGGGAAGAAUCAAUCACACAGAAGUGCAUUUCUGGGAAGCAGAUGGUCAGAUUGUAUCUUGCUAAGGCAUGUUACAAUGGUUUUCCCUUAACAAACGGAAGUGAGUCCCCAUCCCACUGGAAAUGUUCAUUCACUUCUCUGUCUCUUUCUCCCUUUUUAGAGCCAGGGUAGGGGACCCUGCCCCUAUCCCCAUGGGAGCACAGUGUGCUGUGACCUGUCCUGGCCAACACCAGAAAGACAGUUUAUAAGUGGUGCCUUGGGUGUCAUCAGGGUGACCUUUGGGUUUGUCUUUGGGGACCCACUGUGAAAGCUAGCCUGUUACUGGCAUGGCACAGAGACGGUAAUAAAGACACCGACCGGAAUGAUACUGUCAUUUACUGUUGCCAGAAAAAAAAAGUCCCCACCAUUUUUGUUUUUGUAUUUGUUUUUGUUUUGAAGCAGCUGAUAGAACAGACAGGAAGGAAACUUUAAUAACCCUUUCCUCAAGGAAUGAGGCUGGGCCUCCCCUGGGUUGCAGGUCUGAGCCACACACUCCUAAUCCCAGGUAGUCUCUGGGCCCCUGGCUUUCACUUUCCUUGACUGUUCCAGCAAAGGAAGUUUGUUAACGGAAGUACCUGAAAUCAUAGCCAAAGUUUCAGAGAUACUGGUCUUCCUGUUUUGGCUUGGCUACACAUUCUAGUCUUGAGUUUCAGGAUCUCUGAAAGGAAUCACGAGCACUCUAUUUAAAUAAGUAAAACUCGAUAAUCAAACUGUAUGGAAAGCCGGAGGAUUACAGGGAGCCCCAAUCCACCCCCCUCCAACCCCACCCCCCUCACACCCCAUAUUCUUUCUCAUACUCUCUUGUAGGGGACUAAGAGAAGCAUGUCUAUGUAUUUGUGUUUCUUUUUUUAAAAGUAACGCAACGCCAGGUGUGGUGGCGCAUGCCUGGGAUCCCAGGACUGAAAGGUGGAGGCAGGAGGAUCAGGGGUUCAAGUCCAGCUUCUGGGCACAUAAGACCUCGUCUUGGAACAAAAACAGCAAUGUAAAAACAGAAUGAGAAAACCUCAGGACUGCUCCCCCCGUCACAGCAGGGGUACGAAGAAUGAAACAGGAUGAUUCUGCAGCUCAUGGAAGACCCCUUGGAGAUAGCCCGUGGUAAUGAGGACGGGAGUGCUCUGUGAUGCAGAUCCAACCUGUACCGUCCCAUGAGCUGACUGGCGAAUUCCACUCCUUGUGUGGUUUCUGUGUAGUGUGCGUUAGGAAGUGUCCUAGUAGCCGGUUCCAGUUGUCUAGACUGACUUGCAACCCUUUCCCACCACCUUCAGUGAGUCCCAGGGCCCACAGCUCAUCUUGAUCCUCAUGGGGUUGGAAUGGGGAGGAGGGAGCUUUUUUUUUUUUUUUUCUAGUCAUAUCUGCUAAUUUAAGAGUGAGAUUUACUUUAUGGAAGUCAACUCAAUAAAAACUGCAUUCGAGUUGCAAUACCAUUUCACAGUGAAAUAUUUUUGAGUAGAGUUUUGUUGCUAGAAUAGUCAUGGGCAAGAGUUUUAUCAGCAAAACGUUUCAAUUAUGUUAAUAAAUCAGACAAUGCUACUAGA